rnacentral:rRNA from 1 species
CCUACGGGAGGCUGCAGUGGGGAAUAUUGGACAAUGGGGGCAACCCUGAUCCAGCCAUGCCGCGUGUGUGAAGAAGGCCCUCGGGUUGUAAAGCACUUUCAGUGAGGAAGAACGCCUGGUGGUUAAUACCCAUCAGGAAAGACAUCACUCACAGAAGAAGCACCGGCUAACUCCGUGCCAGCAGCCGCGGUAAUACGGAGGGUGCGAGCGUUAAUCGGAAUUACUGGGCGUAAAGCGCGCGUAGGUGGCUUGAUAAGCCGGUUGUGAAAGCCCCGGGCUCAACCUGGGAACGGCAUCCGGAACUGUCAAGCUAGAGUGCAGGAGAGGAAGGUAGAAUUCACGGUGUAGCGGUGAAAUGCGUAGAGAUCGGGAGGAAUACCAGUGGCGAAGGCGGCCUUCGGGACUGACACUGACACUGAGGUGCGAAAGCGUGGGUAGCAAACAGGAUUAGAUACCCUAGUAGUC